CCAAGAUCUGGUCCUACAUGAGCUGUUAGUUUUUUUUCAAAUGAACUGCGUGAAUUGGCAGCACAGGAUGAUCACUUCCGCUAUGCCAAUUUGCUGAGGAUAGCAGAAUUUUUGCUAAUGGAGUGACAUAGAUGUCAUCCAUUGCCUGUGAACAUGUGUGUGAGAGACAGCCUUUUUAAUCUCUUCCUGUAAUCAGCUCCCAGGAGCCCAAACACUGAAUCUGUGGAAGGUACAAAUAUUGUUCACAGUGAAG